GACGAACGCUGGCGGCGUGCUUAACACAUGCCAGUCGAACGGUGAAGCGCCUUCCUUUUUGGUGGGUGUGGAUGAGUGGCGAACGGGUGAGUAACACGUGAGUAACCUGCCCCCUUCUUCUGGAUAACCGCAUGAAAGUGUGGCUAAUACGGGAUAUUCUGGGUCUGUCGCAUGAUGGGUCUGGGAAAGAUAUUGUUUCGGUGGGGGAUGGGCUCGCGGCCUAUCAGCUUGUUGGUGGGGUGAUGGCCUACCAAGGCGGUGACGGGUAGCCGGCCUGAGAGGGUGGACGGUCACACUGGGACUGAGACACGGCCCAGACUCCUACGGGAGGCAGCAGUGGGGAAUAUUGCACAAUGGGCGCAAGCCUGAUGCAGCGACGCCGCGUGGGGGAUGGAGGCCUUCGGGUUGUGAACCUCUUUCGCCAGUGAAGCAGGCCUGCCUCGUUUGUGGGUGGGUUGACGGUAGCUGGAUAAGAAGCGCCGGCUAACUACGUG
rnacentral:rRNA from 1 species